UCCUUGCCAUCUUGUCGUGAGACGCAGUUCAUGAGUACUCCAGAUGAUGCGCCUCAGUGUAGAGCUUAUUCCCAACUAGAACAUAGUUCUUGCCGCGUCAUGAGACUUGCUCUGCCUCUAUCUUGUCUAGAGGUAACUUGUGCUCCUUUAUGUAAUUGAUGAAGGUGGUUCUCUAGUCAUCGAUCAUCAUAACCUCCCGGUCUGGUGCAUCAUGACCUCGAUUGGUG
rnacentral:lncRNA from 1 species